rnacentral:tRNA from 1 species
GGAGUUGUGGCUCAGUGGUAAAGCACUUGCCUGGCAUGUGUGAGGCUCUGGGUUCGAUCCUCAGCACCG